rnacentral:lncRNA from 1 species
CACCCGCUGACCUCCCAGGCCACAGUAGGCCCAGGCAGCCCCUAGGUUCUCGUCUGCCCACUAGGCUGGGUGCCCAGCGGAGCCACCCUGUCCUCAGGGGUGCUGCAGAAGAGGCUCUGUGUCAGGACCCCCAAGGACCUGGAGCCACAACGACCUUGUCACCAGGGCCCGUGGGCCCUUCUGGGUGAGCAGCAGGUCCAGCGUCAGCCUGCAGGACGGAGUCUGGGUCCCGAGCGCAGGGGCCCCUCACUGCCUGUACUGGAAGGCGAUCUCAGCAAUCAGCUUCCUGCGCUGGCGGUACACCUGGUCCGAGAAGCCCUGAGGGCAGAGGGGAUGCACGGGUCAGGAGGCUGUGCUGGGGUGGGGGCACAGGCCACGGAGGCUCCUGGAGCCGACAGACUCCUGUCCAGGGUUGGGCUAAGGGUAGGGGAUGUGAUCAGGGGCAGGAGGCCUG